UGGGGAAUAUUGCACAAUGGGCGCAAGCCUGAUGCAGCCAUGCCGCGUGUGUGAAGAAGGCCUUCGGGUUGUAAAGCACUUUCAGCGGGGAGGAAGGCGAUAAGGUUAAUAACCUCAUCGAUUGACGUUACCCGCAGAAGAAGCACCGGCUAACUACGUGCCAGCAGCCGCGGUAAUACGUAGGGCGCGAGCGUUGUCCGGAAUUAUUGGGCGUAAAGGGCUUGUAGGCGGCUUGUUGCGCCUGCUGUGAAAACGCGGGGCUUAACUUCGCGCGUGCAGUGGGUACGGGCAGGCUUGAGUGUGGUAGGGGUGACUGGAAUUCCAGGUGUAGCGGUGGAAUGCGCAGAUAUCUGGAGGAACACCGAUGGCGAAGGCAGGUCACUGGGCCAUUACUGACGCUGAGGAGCGAAAGCAUGGGUAGCGAACAGG
rnacentral:rRNA from 1 species